UACGUAGGCAGCAAGCGUUGUUCGGAGUUACUGGGCGUAAAGGGUGUGUAGGCGGUUGUUUAAGUUUGGUGUGAAAUCUCCCGGCUCAACUGGGAGGGUGCGCCGAAUACUGAAUGACUAGAGUGUGGGAGAGGAAAGUGGAAUUCCUGGUGUAGCGGUGAAAUGCGUAGAUAUCAGGAGGAACACCGGUGGUGUAGACGGCUUUCUGGACCAUAACUGACGCUGAGACACGAAAGCGUGGGUAGCAAACAGG
rnacentral:rRNA from 1 species